AGAGAAGACGAGAAAGAUGCAUAAACAGAGACAAGGAAAAUUAAGAAAUGGUCAGAAUAAAAGGGAGAGCAGGAGAAAGUCAGUGAAAGAAAAAAGGUAAACAUUUUAAAAGGUAAGUUAUUUUUACUAAAAUGAUGUCUCCAUAAUUGAUCACUUAUUGUCUUGUGUGUUUCUUCUCACUUUAGUAACACAAGACAGAAGUCCAAAAACAACAUGUAGCAGCAAGCAGAUCCAUAUAGAAGAUACUAUCAGAACAACCAAGAUACAACUCCAGAUGUCUAUACAUCAUUGCUGUGUGAAGACUGCUGAAGAGAAGUAACAAGUAGGGCUUUUAAAAAAAAAA